AUGAGGCUCAGAGUGGUGAAAGGUGAAAGCCUGGAGUCCAUUCCCUCCAGUGCAGUGCUGAAGAAACCUGGUGACACUCUCAGUCUCUCCUGUAAAGGAUCUGGGUUUGACUUGGAAGAUUAUGACAUGCACUGGAUCAGACAGCCUGCUGGGAAAGCACUGGAGUGGUUGGGUGCUAUUUGGUACGAUACAAGUAAAACUGUUUAUGCCCAAAUGGUUGAGGGGCACAUAGAAAUCACCAUAGACAACCCCAACAGCAUGAUGUAUCUGAAACUGUCUGGUAUGAGGGCAGAGGACUCGGCUGUGUAUUACUGUGCAAGAUACCACAGUGACACAAACACUGAGUGGAGACGUACAAAAACAUUCAGCCGUGCAAUGAGCAUUUAUAAAGAUUACCAUCAGGGGGGCAGUGAUGAUCCAUAG